rnacentral:rRNA from 1 species
UACGGAAGGCAGCAGUGGGGAAUAUUGCACAAUGGGCGCAAGCCUGAUGCAGCCAUGCCGCGUGUAUGAAAAGGCCUUCGGGUUGUAAAGUACUUUCAGUCGUGAGGAAGGUGUUAAGGUUAAUAACCUUAGCAAUUGACGUUAGCGACAGAAGAAGCACCGGCUAACUCCGUGCCAGCAGCCGCGGUAAUACGGAGGGUGCGAGCGUUAAUCGGAAUUACUGGGCGUAAAGGGCACGCAGGCGGUUAAUUAAGUUGGAUGUGAAAUCCCCGGGCUUAACCUGGGAAUGGCAUUCAAGACUGGUUAGCUAGAGUCUUGUAGAGGGGGUAGAAUUCCAUGUGUAGCGGUGAAAUGCGUAGAGAUGUGGAGGAAUACCGGUGGCGAAGGCGGCCCCUGGACAAAGGCUGACGCUCAUGUGCGAAAGCGUGGGGAGCAAACAGGGAUUAGAUACC